rnacentral:rRNA from 1 species
UGCGGUUUAAUCGGACUCAACGCCGGGAAGCUCACCGGAUAAGACAGCGGAAUGAUAGCCGGGCUGAAGACUCUGCUUGACUAGCUGAGAGGAGGUGCAUGGCCGUCGUCAGUUCGUACUGUGAAGCAUCCUGUUAAGUCAGGCAACGAGCGAGACCCACGCCAACAGUUGCCAGCAUGUCCUCCGGGAUGGUGGGGACACUGUUGGGACCGCCUCUGCUAAAGAGGAGGAAGGAAUGGGGCAACGGUAGGUCAGCAUGCCCCGAAUUAUCCGGGCUACACGCGGGCUACAAUGGUCAGGACAAUGGGCAUCAACACCGAAAGGUGAAGGCAAUCUCUUAAACCUGUCCUUAGUUCGGAUUGUGGGCUGCAACUCGCCCACAUGAAGCUGGAAUCUGUAGUAAUCGCGUCUCAAAAUGGCGCGGUGAAUAUGUCCCUGCUCCUU